UUCUAUUCGAGUCCAUUCCAUUACCGUCUAUUCUAUUCCCUUCCAUUCCUGUUGAUUCAAUUUCAUUCCCUUCCAUUCGAUUCCUUUCCAUUCGAUUCCAUUCCUUUCCAUUCCAUUCCAUUCGUUCCCAUUCCAUGUGAUUUCAUUCCAUUCCAGUCCAUUAUAUUCGAGUCCACUCCACUCCAUUCUAUUACAUUCAAUUCCUUUUGAGUCCGUUCCAUAACACUCCAUUCAUUUCGAUUCCAUUUCUUGCCAGUUUUCUUCCAUUUUAUUCCAUUCCGUUCGAUUCCAUUCCAUUCGAUUGCAUUCCAUUCGAAUCCUUUCCAUUCCAUUUCAUUCCAUUCCUUUCUAUUCCAUUCCAUUUCAUUCGAUUUGAUUCCAUUCUGUUCUAUUCCAUUCAAUUCUUUUUCAUUCCAUUCGAAUCCUUUCUACUGCAGUCCAUUCCAUUCGAGUCCAUUCCAAUCCCUUCCAUUCCAUUCCAUUACAGUCCAUUCCAAUAGAUUCCAUUCCUUUGCCUUCCAUUCGAAUCCAUUCCAUUCUAGUCCAUUCCAUUUGAGUCAAUUCCAUUCCAUUCCAUUCUAUUCCUUUCCAAUCCAUUCGAUUCCAUUCGAUUCAAUUCCAUUUGAUUCUCUUUCAUUCUAUUUUAUUCCAUGCCAUUUGAUUGCAUUGCAUUCCAUUCCGUUUGAUUCCAGUCCAUUCAAGAAAGUUCCAUUCCAGUCCAUUGCUUUCCAGUCCAUUCCAUUCCACUCUAGUCUAUUCCACUCCAUUCCUUUCCAUUCCAUUCCAUACUAUUCCAUUCCAUUCCUUUGCAUUCCGUUUCCAAUCUAUUCGAGUCCAUUGCAUUCCAGUCCAAUCCAUUCCAUUACAUUCCUUUUGAUUCCCUGCCAGUCGAUUGCAUUGCAUACUACACCAUUCCAAAGGAGUCCAUUCCAUUCUAUCUCAACACUUUCCAUUCCACUCUGUUCGAGUCCAUUCCAUUCCAGUCCAUUUAAUUCAAGGGCAUUCCAUUCCAUUCCAUUCCAUUCCAUUUCAUAUUAUUCCAUUCCAUUCAAUUCCAUUCCAGAUGAUUCCAUUCCAUUCUAUACCAUUGCUCUCUGUUCCAUUCCAUUCCAUCUGUCUCCAUUCCUUUCGUUUCGAUUCCUUUCCAUUCCAUUCCAUUACAUUUGAUCCUAUUUUAUUAAAUUGCAUUCUAUU
rnacentral:lncRNA from 1 species